GACGAACGCUGGCGGCGUGCUUAACACAUGCAAGUCGAACGGAAAGGCCCUGCUUUUGUGGGGCGCUCGAGUGGCGAACGGGUGAGUAACACGUGAGUAACCUGCCCUUGACUUUGGGAUAACUUCAGGAAACUGGGGCUAAUACCGGAUAGGAGCUCCUGCUGCAUGGUGGGGGUUGGAAAGUUUCGGCGGUUGGGGAUGGACUCGCGGCUUAUCAGCUUGUUGGUGGGGUAGUGGCUUACCAAGGCUUUGACGGGUAGCCGGCCUGAGAGGGUGACCGGCCACAUUGGGACUGAGAUACGGCCCAGACUCCUACGGGGGGCAGCAGUGGGGAAUAUUGCACAAUGGGCGGAAGCCUGAUGCAGCAACGCCGCGUGCGGGAUGACGGCCUUCGGGUUGUAAACCGCUUUCGCCUGUGACGAAGCGUGAGUGACGGUAAUGGGUAAAGAAGCACCGGCUAACUACGUG
rnacentral:rRNA from 1 species